rnacentral:snRNA from 1 species
AUACUUACAUGGCAGGGGAGACACCAUGAUCACAAAGGUGGUUUUCCCAGGGUGAGGCUCAUCUAUGGCACUCUGGAUAUGCUGCCCCUCCAGUUUCCCAAAUGUGAAAAACUGGAUUGUAUUUGUGGUAGUAGAGACUGUGUUGGUGCUCUCCCCU